GGGGCUGUUCUGGAUUCGACGGGAUGGUUUGGGCUUGGCAAGCACGCGCUCGGCAGAUCUGAAAAUGCACGGUUAAAUAUAACCGCAAACAACAAUUACGCUUUCGCAGCCUAAGAAGAGGUAGCGGGUCAGACGGUUCCAGCCUGCGGGCAUCGCCAGACCUCAAUUUAGCAGGAUAGCAAGGGGCAUCGCCGCCUUAGGUGCCUCAAGUGAAACUAACAGGGCUGGUUAUCGGGAAGUGAGUACACUGACAUUCUGGUAACGAGAAAAAACCAGUGAACUAAGCGUGUAGAAAACUGAGUCGACGGCUGUUUCGGACGGGGGUUCAAAUCCCCCCAGCUCCACCA
rnacentral:tmRNA from 1 species